UGGAGAACGAAGCCGGCGCCGUCGUCUCUUCCCCACGUCGCCAUUGCCGUGCAUCCUUCGUUGUUCUCCAUCCGAACCGACCUACUCUACCGCCUCUCGACACCUAUAAAUAGCCGGUGAAGCCCCCUCUCUUCUUCCACAACCGAGCCGUGAGCUCAGUCUCUCUCUCUCUCUCUUCUCAUGUCAAACCACCACCGGCCAUCGUCGAUCUCCCUCACUGGAGUGUUUCUGGCCAAGCCCUUGCGCCAUCGGGUUUGCCUCGACGAGGCGAACUCAUUUUCCUAGUUUACCCUUCCUUUUCCCUUCCGAAACCAACCAUCAUAGCCACCUCCUUUGUUGCCGGAGCAAGCUCUUGCCGUCGCCGUUCCGGUCUCCUCCCUAACCUUCUCUAUCGGCAACCACCCUCCCUAAGUGCGCGUUGCUCGGGAACGCGUUUUGCCGCCGGAGUCACAGUCUUCCAUCCACCGGAGAGCCGGCGCCCCUUCUCUCCCUCCUCUCAACUCACUCGGCAACAGAAAAGAAGAAGAGAACGGGAGGAAGAAGAAGGAAGAAGAAAGAGAGAAGAAAAAAAGAAAAGGGAACUGACAGUAGAGUCUAUUUUAUUUUGGAUGGCAACCUUUGGUAUUUCGAGAAUCGGAUAAUCAGGUUGCCUAUCUCGGAUUUAUUUGCGUUGGAGCAAGGCAAGUUAUUAUUCAUCUCCUUUGAGCAUAAAUGCCCUGUAUUCUAUAUCUCUGAUAUCUCAUGCAUUAGCCAUUCAUGAUUUUCAAUGCAUAACCUGAACAUAUAGCAAACCAGAUAUGCUAGCUUUUGCUUAGCCCUGCCUAGUUAGAUUAUGCAUAAAAUUUAAUGAACUUAGAUUGGGACAGUACGGUAGAAAUGGUUGAUUUCCGGGUGGCUAGUACUGUCUCAGUCGAUAUAAGUUUAUACCAAAUACUUAUGUCAAACGAACGAGUACGACCGCAGCUUCUAGAAUAGGGACAAACCUAGCUAUUAUGUUAAUUAGCAAUGUGGUACCUCUGUACAGUGGUUCUAUUUUAAAGUCCUCGUGUAGGAGGCAAAUUUACGCCGAGUAGGGCAAUUGUGAUAUUUACCGAGGCACAGGUAAAUAUGUAUUUGAGAUAUAUUGUGAUCACGUUUGUGAACCCUGAUUGCGAUGACAUGGUGUCAUACAAUCAGUCCUCUCUAAAGACCCCGGUAACGCCAGAACUCCUCUCGCUGCAGUUAACGUCACGUUCAGAGCGCAUGAGGAUAUAAGUUCAUGGAACAGGUACCACAAUUGUUAAUAACCUAAUACUGGGCCAUGACUAAGCUAAUGAAUAUUGGCAAGUCGUGGACUGCGGGUAAAGCGUACAUCUACUGCAGUAGGAUAUUCAUCAAACUAUUCGAAUAGCCGUGCUCACGGAAUUGAGUACCGAGAUUCAUAUGGUAUUUGGUUAGAAACCUAAUUCGAGAUUUUACUAAAUAUUGUUGCAUUAAAGUCAUUACAAGCUUUCUUCUUCUACAUUCUCUGCUUUCUGCAAGUAAAUCUAGCCCUACUCAAAUACUGCUAUUUCAUACAUUCAUAUUGAAUAUAAUAGCUUGCUGAGUACGUUGUACUCACCCUUGCUUCAACCUCACCUUUUUCAGAGUCCAUUUGGAGUUCUUAUCGAAGCCGGGAGUUCAAUCACAUAAGUUAGUUCACUUUAAACCUAGUCUUGAAGUCUAGUAUUGUUAGAUGGUUUAACUCUAUAGCAAAACAUUAGAGUUGAUUUAUUCUAUAGCUUCUGUUGUAUUAGAUAGCUACAAGUUUGUAAAUACCCAUGUAUUUUAUAAUAAUAUCUCCUUUGGAACCUUGUUCAAAUGUAUGCAAUGAAGAUUCAGAUUGUUGAACCUGUAUCAAUCUACUGAUCCAGGGCUUGAUACAGUCUAAACAUGUCGGUUACCGAAUCAUUAGUUUUGAGACCCGACAGUUCCCCUCCAGGCGAUGAGCUAGAUCUGCACCGUGGGUUGUCACCGUAGCCAAUCGGCAGCUGAAUCCGAGGUUGUCGCCUUCUCUGCAACUCAGUGCCUCAUCUCUCUCCUUGUCUUUGUUCGACGCCAAGGCUUCUUUGCUAAUCGCCUUGGAAGCAAAUAUGAGGAUUUGAGGGGAUACCACUGCCGCUAUCAUAUUGCCCCCACCUCUGGCUCCACCGCCCCCUCCUUCGUUAACCUUGCUGAUGCGAGAAAGGAAUUAUGGCCACCUACAUGCUUCCCCUGCGUGAGGAAGGCCCGUUCCAUGUGUGCCGUUGUCGGCACAUCCCGAUGCCCACCUUCACUAAGCUCGAGUUUCAUGUGGGCGAUAUCUUGGAGCUCGCCAGCGAUGGCCGUCUCGAGGUAGAACUCACUGGCUGAUCCACUAUUCUCUUUUUUUUUCAUGUGGCUAUAAUUGCCAUUUAAGAGCAAUAUUAGUAUGGGUGGACCAAGUCAACGUGUCAGGUUAGACAGAACUACUGUAAUGUCACGUAGGACGGAAUCACAGCCUAAACAACCGAGUGAGGUUAAUUGAUCUGGUUUUGUGGUUUUGUGGUUUUGACUUUUGAGGUAUGCGAAUCACAUUGGAGUUGAGGAGGCAA